rnacentral:rRNA from 1 species
CAGCAGCCGCGGUAAUACGGAGGGUGCAAGCGUUAAUCGGAAUUACUGGGCGUAAAGCGUGCGUAGGCGGUUUGUUAAGUCUGUUGUGAAAUCCCCGGGCUCAACCUGGGAAUGGCAAUGGAUACUGGCAAGCUAGAGUGUGUCAGAGGAUGGUGGAAUUCCCGGUGUAGCGGUGAAAUGCGUAGAGAUCGGGAGGAACAUCAGUGGCGAAGGCGGCCAUCUGGGACAACACUGACGCUGAGGCACGAAAGCGUGGGGAGCAAACAGGAUUAGAUACCCCUGUAGUCCCUGUCUCUUAUAC